rnacentral:tRNA from 2 species
AAUCCGUCGACGUUAACAGUCGUGAGGGUUCAAGUCCCUCUAUCCCCA